rnacentral:tRNA from 3 species
CGGGGUGUGGCGCAGCUUGGGAGCGCGCUUCGUUCGGGUCGAAGAGGUCGUGGGUUCAAAUCCCGCCACCCCGAC